GUGUUGUUGGAGAAUUAGUACUACACACCAUAUCAGGCUCAAGGAAGGAGGCCCUGAGAUUCAAAUUGCAGAAGUCAUUGCAGGAGGGCUCCUCUCCAAGGUGAUUGUCAUUCACCUCUGGACAUAUGCAGCAGCCUGUCACCCAUGAAAAGUGCUCUCAGCAUGCAAGAAAAAGAACUAAGAUACCACAAGGUGAUCUGUUGUGAUGACGCAGUGGGAUUCAAGACUGAUUAGAAGCUGACACCUUACUGGACAGCCCAAAUAACUUGCUGUUGUCUUAUUGACACCUACAUGUGUUUUUGAGCUUCCAAUCCCCCCUGCUAGUCUUGGGUCCUGCCAAUCUGUCCGCUCUAAUUAUGCAUCCUUCUGCAUUAUAUAACUGGGACUGGUGAGAGAUUGAAUAUAAUAUUGCAGUAUUGAAAAGAUAAUGUGGCUUAAGUUAGGAUUGCCCAGUUAUCAAGAUUGAUUCUGGCAUUCUCCACACCCAACAGACAAGCUUGGAAAUUAUUUUGUGCUUGUAAAAUUUUGUGAUUUGCUUAUUUCCUAUCUGUGACAAACAAAAUAAAUAAGAAGCAGUCUUUGUUGU